AAGCCGGAAUCGCUAGUAAUCGCGGAUCAGAAUGCCGCGGUGAAUACGUUCCCGGUCUUGUACACACCGCCCGUCACACCAUGGGAGUUGGAAAUGCCCGAAGUCAGUGGCCCAACCGGAAGGGGGGAGCUGCCGAAGGCAGGUUCGAUGACUGGGGUGAAGUCGUAACAAGGUACC
rnacentral:rRNA from 1 species